CUGGGCUCUUGUGUUAGAAUUCAGUGUAAUUCUGGCGUCCUGCUUUCCUUCCAGGAAAUCCCACUUCCAACUGGAUGUCUGGAUGAACUACUGAAAGCCACUGAGUAUCCUGCAGCAGGCGAACUGUGGCCAGAGCCCAAGGAUGAAGGGGGCUCCCUCUGUCUGUGACUGUGAAGAGGAAGCCUGAGGUGUAGCAGACCCAGGCCCCAGAAGGAUGGAAAAAAUGAGGGUUGGACCCAAGAUUCUGUACUUCUAUGGAGCCCUGUGUUCUGCCCAGGUGUCAUUUACUCCCAGGUGUGCUCUAUCAGAAGGCUUCUCCUUUCUGUUGGACAGAGUCCUAGAAGAAGAAAUGAGCGCUGCUGAGAAAGAUGCUCCACAAGGAGGAAGGAGUCACCAUUUUUAG
rnacentral:lncRNA from 10 species